rnacentral:rRNA from 1 species
AUGAAGCAAAGGUCUGCACCUACAUGUUAUCAGAAGUCAAGUCUUAGACAAGGUUUGUCAUUGUCCAUAGAUUCAAUCUUCCCCCCUUUCUCUAUUGACAUACUUCUAGGAGCUGCAAUGCUCAAAUUGCCACGGAUCUUAGACUGGUGUCAAGAUGCUAUUGAUAAGAUUUUGAAUUGCAUCAAACGGUUUCAGGUGUCCCUGGUUUUGUUAGCAUCAGGACAUGUUGACCUAAUUGUCCAUGGUUACACUCAUCUUCAAACGGCACAACUUGUUUUGCUGCACAUCUUCUCUUACCAUAUGAUGAACAGAACGACGGCGCCGACAUGGAUGACUCGGAGCUCAACCUUGUCAAGGGCCGCGAGCAGCGGCGACUUUCUUUUCCACGAGAAGAUGACCAAGGGCGCCAUCGGCCACUUUGUCUUCGCCGUCGAAGAGUCCAAGCUCGUCUCCGCAUCGGUUGCAUUGGUGCCGAUCAGGGGUAAUGACUUUUCUGUGCUGGAUCAACAUGCAGAACUUGCGCCCACCUUGAGGCCAUUAAUCCAGGGAAGGAAAUAUGGACACUGGAUGAGCCUGUUAUACAAUACAGUCGUGCACCUCUAUCGCGUCGAGAAGGACAGGAAUUCUCAGGAGAGUUUUCUCCCUUUCGCAGGAUACGCGAGACUGUGCGACGUCCGCUGGACAAAGCGGUUGGACUAUUUGAGACCGCUUGACAUGAUGUGGUUGGUCCGGCGCCGUUUUGCGGAUUGGUCUAGCAACAUAGAGAGGAAGCUGCAAAGAAGCUCCAAGUGGAUGUAG